CUUCCACCAUGAAAGACGGUGGAUUGAAGCUCGCUUGAGUCUUUGACAGCUUCUAUCCGGUGGGUUUUAGUCCGAUGGCGCUUUAAACUCCAUUAUUAACAAGUUUCACGCCCAGGUUCUUCACCUCACUGAUUUUAUUGCAAACCCUAAUUUUUUAUUCAAAGCUCUUUAAUAUCUGCCUUUUCAAAUGAUUUUGAGUUAAUAUUUGUUAAUACACUAUUUCUCACUCAAUAUCUCUGAUUAAUUCAAUGUUUUUUGAUAAUUUUCUCUUUUUUCAAAACUAGGGUUUCUGACCCCUUUCUUCAAAAUCGUUAUAUCUUCUGAUUUUCUUGAGUAUUAUGUGGUUAUGUCGUGCUAUGUGUUUGUUUGUGCUACGAGCUUGUUUGUCUCCUUGUUAAUCCGAGUUCCAUGCUCCAAAUUCUUGCUAGGGUUCCGACCCUUUAUUGCUUCUAUGAUCUCUUGCAUAAGGUUCUUUGAUUUUUCACGCCUAUUGUGUCAAUAGGUCUAGUUGUUAUUCGAAUGAUUCUGUGUAUCUUUGAAUCCCUAAUCUGUAUGAAUAUUCCUUAAAUGUUCUUACACCGAUUUUUGAAUUAUUUCCUUACUUGUGGGAUGCUCUUUAUACUUGGUACUGAUUCUCUCUUAUUUUGGUCUUGUCCGUGAUUCUUUGACUAAUUUUC
rnacentral:lncRNA from 1 species